UACAGUCAAAGUCGUAACUCCC
rnacentral:siRNA from 1 species